rnacentral:rRNA from 1 species
CAGCCGCCACGGGAAUACGUAGGUGGCAAGCGUUGUCCGGAACUAUUGGGCGUAAAGGGCUCGCAGGCGGUUUCUUAAGUCUGAUGUGAAAGCCCCCGGCUCAACCGGGGAGGGUCAUUGGAAACUGGGAAACUUGAGUGCAGAAGAGGAGAGUGGAAUUCCACGUGUAGCGGUGAAAUGCGUAGAGGUGUGGAGAAACACCAGUGGCGAAGGCGACUCUCUGGUCUGUAACUGACGCUGAGGAGCGAAAGCGUGGGGAGCGAACAGGAUUAGAUACCCGGGUAGUCCCUGUCUCUUAUAC